rnacentral:rRNA from 1 species
AGGGACGCAGCGGAAAGGCUGGAGGAAGGUGGGGAUGACGUCAAAUCCUCAUGGCCUUAUGUCCAGGGCUACACACAUGCGACAAUGGUCGAGACAACGCGUUGCAAACCAGUAAUGGUAAGCUAAUCGCAUAAAAUCGACCUCAGUACGGAUUGAGGGUUGCAAUUCACCCUCAUGAAGCUGGAGUUGCUAGUAACCGCAGGUCAGCUAUACUGCGAUGAAUACGUUCCCGGGGCUU